rnacentral:tRNA from 1 species
UUGCUCAGUGGCAGAGCAUUUAACUGCAGAUCAAGAGGUCCCCAGUUCAAAUGUAGAUUGGGA